GUGCUAUAUGAAAAGAGAGAAGGUUAGCACUCCUUUUGAAAAUGAUAGAAGAGGUCCUAGUGGCAUUUACAAUGUAUAUACAGUUAAGGUAUUGCCACCUACUCUUUGACAUCUAACCAUGUUUGU